rnacentral:rRNA from 1 species
GAUGAACGCUAGCGGGAGGCCUAACACAUGCAAGCCGAGCGGUAUUGUUUCUUCGGAAAUGAGAGAGCGGCGUACGGGUGCGGAACACGUGUGCAACCUGCCUUUAUCUGGGGGAUAGCCUUUCGAAAGGAAGAUUAAUACUCCAUAAUAUAUUGAACGGCAUCGUUUGAUAUUGAAAGCUCCGGCGGAUAGAGAUGGGCACGCGCAAGAUUAGCUAGUUGGUGAGGUAACGGCUCACCAAGGCAAUGAUCUUUAGGGGGCCUGAGAGGUGAUCCCCCACACUGGUACUGAGACACGGACCAGACUCCUACGGGAGGCAGCAGUGAGGAAUAUUGGUCAAUGGGUGCAAGCCUGAACCAGCCAUCCCGCGUGCAGGAAGACGGUCCUAUGGAUUGUAAACUGCUUUUAUACAGGAAGAAACCCUCCACGUGUGGAGCUUGACGGUACUGUAGGAAUAAGGAUCGGCUAACUCCGUG